rnacentral:rRNA from 1 species
UACAGAGGGUGCAAGCGUUGUUCGGAAUUAUUGGGCGUAAAGCGCGUGUAGGCGGCUUUGCAAGUCGGGUGUGAAAUCCCCAGGCUCAACCUGGGAACUGCAUUCGAGACUGCAUUGCUAGAGUAUGGGAGAGGGAAGUGGAAUUUCAGGUGUAGCGGUGAAAUGCGUAGAUAUCUGAAGGAAUACCGGUGGCGAAGGCGGCAUCCUGGACCGAGAUUGACACUGAUGAGCGAAAGCUAGGGGAGCAAACGGG